rnacentral:rRNA from 1 species
GAUGAACGCUGGCGGCGUGCCUAAUACAUGCAAGUCGAGCGAACAGACGAGGAGCUUGCUCCUCUGACGUUAGCGGCGGACGGGUGAGUAACACGUGGAUAACCUACCUAUAAGACUGGGAUAACUUCGGGAAACCGGAGCUAAUACCGGAUAAUAUAUUGAACCGCAUGGUUCAAUAGUGAAAGACGGCUUUGCUGUCACUUAUAGAUGGAUCCGCGCCGCAUUAGCUAGUUGGUAAGGUAACGGCUUACCAAGGCAACGAUGCGUAGCCGACCUGAGAGGAUGAUCGGCCACACUGGAACUGAGACACGGUCCAGACUCCUACGGGAGGCAGCAGUGGGGAAUCUUCCGCAAUGGGCGAAAGCCUGACGGAGCAACGCCGCGUGAGUGAUGAAGGUCUUCGGGUCGUAAAACUCUGUUAUUAGGGAAGAACAGAUGUGUAAGUAACUAUGCACGUCUUGACGGUACCUAAUCAGAAAGCCACGGCUAACUACGUG